rnacentral:rRNA from 1 species
CCUACGGGUGGCAGCAGUGAGGAAUAUUGGUCAAUGGCCGAGAGCCUGAACCAGCCAAGUCGCGUGAGGGAUGACGGCCCUACGGGUUGUAAACCUCUUUUGUCGAGGAGCAAAGUGAGCCACGUGUGCCUUAUUGUGUGUACUCUAUGAAAAAGGAUCGGCUAACUCCGUGCCAGCAGCCGCGGUAAUACGGAGGAUGCGAGCGUUAUCCGGAUUUAUUGGGUUUAAAGGGUGCGUGGGUGGAGGUGAAAGUAAGCGGUUAAAUUUCGGGGCUAAACCCAAUACUGCCAUUGAAACUGCAUCCCUUGAGUGCACUAGAGGUAGGCGGAAUGCGUGGUGUAGCGGUGAAAUGCAUAGAUAUCACGCAGAACUCCGAUUGCGAAGGCAGCCUAC